AUUAGCACAGGUUUUGGGGCCCUACUACCUCAAUUAUCUCCUCAUUCCUGCUCUUCAAGGCUACUGGCAACUGUGGUCUAAGGGCCUGCCUCCGAUUUACCCAAUGAAACAGUUAUUGAGACGAUUUCAGGAGUGGAAGUCAGCAGUCUGAACUUCAUGGUCCUAUUGGCAUCUACAGGAUGGAAGUUCAGCUAAAAACCCAAAAUUUAUUUGACCAAAGGCUUCCCCAUCAGGAAAGAGCCAUUCUGUUGCUUCUGCCUAAUCAUGAGGGAGAAGAAAAAACAAGCAAAUGGAAGAUGAAACUUUAGAAGAGAUAAACUGUCUAGAUUGUUUGAAAAAUGUCUCCAGAGCCUCUGCACACCCAUAUGUGAUAUUUUUUAUUCUAUAUAUACUUUCUGGUUUUGUCUGCAUGUAUUUAUGGAUAUUGAUGCAUAAGUGAGAGUGUGUGUGUGGAGGGGGGUGGGUGUGUGUGGGUGGUUGUGUGUUCAAAGAGUAGCUUCAGUUGCUUUCUUAUGCACAGUCAAAUCCUCCAUUACCUAUAGGACAAAUUCUAUCACAACACUACAAAAUCAUUUGUAUUUACUCAACAGGUCUAGUCCAUCACUAAUUCCUAGUAAUACAAAAAAGAAGCUUUGUCCCUUGCUGAGUAGUUGUUCUACUGAAGAAAGAGGUACAAAAAAAUCUAAGUAGUUAGCAUGGAUAUUUUCAUUUUUUUGAACAUAUUUUUUAAAAUUUUAAAUAAAAAGAUUUGAAUUUCCCAUACAAAGUCACUCAUUCAAAACUUUAUUGAACAUCUAAUAACUGUCAGAUAUACUAAGCAGGUAAUAGAUUUUUUUCCUUCAUGAUAAGGGAUCAUUUUUCAGUCAAAUAUCUGACAUUUGGUAUCCAAAAUAGGUAUUGAUCAGGUGGUCCAUUAGGACAGGAUAUCCUGCCUCAACUCUCCACUGCAUUUUUUGCCUUCACAGCAAAGGAAGAAUAGUAGGAGAAGGGGAAACCUUUGCAGAUGCCUCAUUAGUCAUCCCCUUGCCAGUUCUGCCUUAUUUGAAUUUUCUCUGAAUAUCUCCCUCUCUUCACAUCUAUAGAAGUACCAGUUUCUAGAAGUAGUUUUGACUCUUCCUCCAAACACUUCACAUCACUUUGGUCUGUCCACUUCCCUGAUGAAUAGAGCUUGUUUGCAAUGAAUGGAUUUGAAUGACACUGCCAGUUGCUAGACUGAGAGUACCCCCCCACAGUGCACUCCUCACAUGACCUAUCUGUGCUAAUAUGUGUGUGGUGCUGGCAAAAUGUGAACACAGAGGUCAACGAAAGUUUAAUUGGGGAUAGGGAGCCUACCUGAAUUUUGAAAGAUAUGUUAUAGAAAGAAGGGAAGUAUACUCCUGAUGGUAGAUGUAUGCCUGCUACUGGAAUACAUGGGGAGAGCAGGGCAAAAGAUGGAUUUGGCUAAGUGUAGGAUGGUGAGGGUAGGGAAUUCAUGAUACAACACUUCCUCUUAAACAUAGUUCUAAGGCGCUGCCAUAGGAAAACCCUAAUA